rnacentral:rRNA from 1 species
CACGUAGGGGGCGAGCGUUGUCCGGAUUCAUUGGGCGUAAAGCGCGCGCAGGCGGCUCGGAAAGUCGGGUGUGAAAACCUGGGGCUCAACCCCGGGCGUGCAUCCGAUACUGCCGGGCUUGAGGCAGGUAGGGGAGAUCGGAAUUCCUGGUGUAGCGGUGAAAUGCGCAGAUAUCAGGAGGAACACCGGUGGCGAAGGCGGAUCGCUGGGCCGGUCCUGACGCUGAGGCGCGAAAGCGUGGGGAGCGAACAGG